ACCAGUUGAUCCUGCUGGAGGACACCGCUAUCGGAUUGCGAUUAAGCCAUGCAAGUCUAAAGACUAUACUUAUAGUCUUGGCGAACGGCUGAAUAACACGUAGUCAACCUACCCUAGAGAAGGGGAUAACGACGCGAAAGUGUCGUUAAUACCCUAUAGCUCUCUCAACCUGGAAUACUGGUGAGAGGGUCAAAAGAGCUGCAAAUUGUAGUAGUUUCGCUCUAGGAUGGGACUGCGGCUGAUUAGGCAGUUGGAGGUGUAACGGACCCCCAAACCUAUAAUCAGUAGGGGUCAUGGGAGUGAUGGCCCCCAGAUGGGCACUGAGAUAAGGGCCCAAGCCCUCCGGGGUGCAGCAGGCGCGAAAAUUCCGCAAUGCGCGAAAGCGUGACGGGGGUAGUCCGAGUGAUUUCCGAAAGGAAAUCUUUUGCUAAGCUUGAAUAGCUUGGAGAAUAAGUGGUGGGUAAAUCCUGUGCCAGCCGCCGCGGUAAUACAGGUAGCACGAGUGGUGUCCACGAAUAUUGAGUCUAAAGCGCUCGUAGCCGGUUUGGAAAAUCUCUUGUCAAAUCUCUACGCUCAACGUAGAGGCGCGCAAGAGACACUACCAGACUAGGGAGUGGAGGAGGUUAGGGGUACUGCAGGGGGAACGGUAAAAAAGCCUUUUUCUUUUUACUAAAAAGAAAAAGUCUUUUAGUCCCAAAAGAAAAAGGAACUUUACAAUGUUGUAAUCCUUGCAGGACCACCAGUGGCGAAGGCGCCUAACCAAGACACGUCCGACGGUGAGGGGCGAAGGCUAGGGGAGCAAACCGGAUUAGAUACCCGGGUAGUCCUAGCAGUAAAUUAUGCAGACUUGGCGUUGCACUUGCUUCGAGCGAGUGCAGUGUCGAAGGGAAGCCGUUUAGUCUGCCACUUGGGGAGUACGGUCGCAAGAUUGAAACUUAAAGGAAUUGGCGGGGGAGCUGAAGCGAAAGUCAGUUUCACCGGCAACGAGGUGUCCCAAAAAG
rnacentral:rRNA from 1 species